rnacentral:rRNA from 1 species
CCUACGGGCGGCUGCAGUGGGGAAUUUUGGACAAUGGGCGCAAGCCUGAUCCAGCUAUUCCGCGUGUGGGAUGACGGCCCUCGGGUUGUAAACCACUUUAGUAGAGAACGAAAAGGAGCUAUCGAAUAAAUAGCUCUGCUGACGGUACUCUAAGAAUAAGGACCGGCUAAUUCCGUGCCAGCAGCCGCGGUAAUACGUAGGGGGCAAGCGUUAUCCGGAUUUACUGGGUGUAAAGGGAGCGUAGACGGCUGUGCAAGUCUGAAGUGAAAGCCCGUGGCUCAACCGCGGAACUGCUUUGGAAACUGUAUAGCUUGAGUACUGGAGAGGCAGGCGGAAUUCCUGGUGUAGCGGUGAAAUGCUUAGAUAUGACGAAGAACCCCGAUUGCGAAGGCAGCUUGCUGCAGCGGAACUGACGCUGAUGCUCGAAAGCGCGGGUAUCGAACAGGAUUAGAUACCCGAGUAGUC